UGGUUCUAGCAUCGAUGAAGAACGCAGCGAAAUGCGAUAAGUAAUGUGAAUUGCAGAAUUCCGUGAAUCAUCGAAUCUUUGAACGCAUAUUGCGCCCCCUGGUAUUCCGGGGGGCAUACCCGUCCGAGCGUCGUAGUCCCAACUCAAGCUGUUCUGCGUGGAAUUGGACCUAGUGGGAUCGCCCCUGUGGUGAACCCACUGGCCCUUAAUCUAGUGACAGUGUCGCACACCCCGAGUGUAGUAUAUCUCUCCGCCCUGGGGCCCCUGUGCGUCCACUAUCAGCUAAUCCCAUAUACUAGCUAGUAUAUGACAAUGGAUGACCUCGGAUCGGGUAGGGAUACCCGCUGA
rnacentral:misc_RNA from 1 species